rnacentral:lncRNA from 1 species
AGCUGCGCGCGUCUCGCUACGCCACGCCCCUCUCCGGCUCCACCCCAGCCCCAGCUUCAUCUCCACCCGAGAGGCUAGCGCGCUCUCAGUGUUUCUCGAGGCUGUCCUCGUGCGCAGUCCGCGCCAAAGUUCCCUGAAGAGAAAGAGGAGGAAAGAAAGGGCAGGAUUGCCGGGGCAGGCAUGGAGGAAGAAGCAGUCUGGGGAUUAGACUGGGACAGUGACGAGACGGUAGUGGAAGGGUCGGUGACCGAGAGCGAGCUAGAGGAUGACGAGUUGCCCCUGAAAAGGUUAUUUUUUGCUCAAGAUUCAUCUUUUAUAUCUGAUCCCAGUUUUCACUCUGAUCUCAGACGAAUAUAUGGAGAAGCAGCCUCUCCGGAGAUUCAUCUUGUAUAUAAACUCAAAGAGUAUCUACAAGAGCAGAUGAAUAAGCACAUGAUAAAACCAAAUAAGCAGACCAGUCAUCUUCCUGAGAGGUGGAUCUCUGGGCAGCUCUCUGAAGGAGAAAAUGAAACUCAAUUGUCUCAAGCUUUAACACAGGAUGAAAUAGAUAAUCCACUGUUCUCUGAAGAAAUUCCCCAAGAUGAUCUAGUGCUGGACUCUGAAUGGCAGAAUGAGCACAAUUAUUCUGCAGGAUUUGAUACCGAAGAUUUUGGAUUUCUGCAAAGGCCAGAAAAGGGUAAAGAAGGCCAAAGUUCACUUGGACAGGAAACCUUAGCACAUCAAAAUGAUGUCUGCUCUAUUGGGCUUAGAAAAAAGGAGGAUUUAAAUACCAUGGAAACUACCAUGACCAUGGAAACUUCAUCUGUGUUAAGGAGAUCAGCCAGAUUGAAAGCAGUAAGAGCAAGAGGUACCCCUAAGGAUAUAGAUGAGGUAUAUAAAAUGCCAAAAGAGAUUCUACAGAAAACACAUAGUGGACUUCCAGUUGAGUAUUUCAGAACACAAGAUCCUCCUUUUCAGAAUAACAGUGAUGAGAAAUCCAUAGAACAGAGCAAAGAACAGGUUUUAUCUCCUUAUAGCUCUGAUGAACAGUUAAGAAAGGGCAGAAAAACUACAAAAAACAGAAAAAAUCACAGAAAUAUAUCAAAGGUUUCAAGUAUUAAUCGAAGAGAUAUCUAUGGAGAAUCACUCUUGCAUAAAGCUGCUCAGGCAGAUGAUUCAGCUCUUGUCAAGAAAUAUAUAAAACUAGGUGGAAAUGUAAAUUUGCCAGAUUAUGCUGUUCUAGGUGCUGAACAAAAGGAAGCCCAGAGAAGCAGCAGGAGCCCAGCUGUUUGCUAGGAACUAAGAUAAAAUGUUCAUUAUUCUGAAAUAAAGCAUUAUGAAAAACUUCUUAAACUUACUUU